CUAUCCCGCUGGUUGGCAGGAUAGUCUUCGCUGGAAGGCGCACCUGCCAUUUGUUCCGCUAAAUCCGAGCAUUCUCAGCCAUUCUCGGGCCCACUUCUUGUUAUACACGUUAACUACGGCUGUUUGAUCGUUUUGGGAGACACAAUGCCAGGCUGCUGCGUUCCCAACUGCGGAAAUCACUCUAGAAACGGUUGGAGACUCUUUCAUUUUCCCACCCAGCGAGAAAGAAGAACACUUUGGCUCACAGGAAUCAAUAGGAGAGACUGGGAACCUAAGAAGUGGUCCGCGGUAUGCAGUGCCCACUUUGAGGACGACAGCUUUGAACAAAAGCGCGCCGACGGCUGGAAAAAGCUGAAGCCAAAUGCCGUUCCAAAGGUGUUCCCGCCAAAGGCAUCGUCUCGCAAAAGAAGAGCGCCGAAAGAUGUGACAAGAGCAGCAGCAGCGCCGUCUGCCGUAAGUGACGAUUCCGUCGUCGUCGAUGGAGCCGAUCCGGCACCGACGCAGGUGGAGGUGCACCUGCUGCCGUCUUCCAACGGCCCUGAUCUGUCUCGGCAAGAGAGCUGCACCGUGCCACAGCCAGCCAACUCAAGCCGGACGCCCCGGAGCACGACAGUCAAGCAGGAGCUCGCUGCGCAUAACGCUGCGUCAUCCGAUCCUCCGUGUUCUAACGACUCCUGCGCCGAAUUGAGGCAACAUCUGGCAGACGUCACGACAAGGCACGACCAACUGCUGGAAGCUUACGUGGUUGCGAAUUCGAGCGUUAACGCGCUUAGAAGUCGGCGAGUUGGAAAGCACCGUGGAAAUUCUCCGACAGCGCCUUCAGCCUAGCAACGGCGCCCAUUAGCAAGUGGCUCCGUGAUAAAACAACCAAAGUAGUAUGCGUAUUCAAUAAAGCUGGCGCUUGGAUUUUCUGCACAA